rnacentral:rRNA from 1 species
UGGGGAAUUGUUCGCAAUGGGCGCAAGCCUGACGACGCAACGCCGCGUGGAGGACGAAGAUCUUCGGGUCGUAAACUCCUGUCGAGCGGGAAGAACGGGCUGGUGGUGAACAGCUGCCGGUCGUGACGGUACCGCUAAAGGAAGCCCCGGCUAACUCCGUGCCAGCAGCCGCGGUAAUACGGGGGGGGCAAGCGUUGUUCGGAAUUACUGGGCGUAAAGGGCUCGUAGGCGGCUCGUUAAGUCGGAUGUGAAAUCCCCAGGCUCAACCUGGGAAUGGCAUCCGAGACUGGGGGGCUUGAAUCCGGGAGAGGGAUGCAGAAUUCCAGGUGUAGCGGUGAAAUGCGUAGAUAUCUGGAGGAAUACCGGUGGCGAAGGCGGCAUCCUGGACCGGCAUUGACGCUGAGGAGCGAAAGCUAGGGGAGCAAACGG